CGGAGGGAGACCAGGUGCCACGUUGGGAUGGGCAACACUGAGAUUAAGAGCUGGGGCAAUGCCGCCACACCAGGGGGCAACAGAUCUUAAUAUCUGAAUAUCCAGGAGAUGAGUGGAACAGUGUGGGAAAAUUUGGGACUGGGAGUGUGUUACAAAGAGAGGCCUGGGAGCGGUGGCUGCAUUGAUCCAAAUAGACAAUCACUUCCAUCAAAAAUUCCCUGUUGGAAAAGAUCCAAUCUGACAAGUGCAGAAGCUGAUGUUUCAAACCCCAGUGCCUCAGCUAUUUUUAUUUCCCAAAAUAAUCUAAAAUGAGGAAAACAAGAAUUCUUCAAUAAGAAUAAGACUGAAUAAGGAGAUGUUUCUUAGGGCUGGAUGUCUGGAGCUUAAGGGUGCCCUCUCAGCUUCACUCGCAACCAGGCCUCACUUAACUGGAGCAUCCUCAUCUCUGCUCCCAACUGACCUUCAGGUUACAUGUAAAACACCUAAAGAUAAAUAAAAUCAAUCCUACCAUAGGGACCGAUUCACCUUCCCACUAAGGGGUCCCAAAGAGAAUGGAAAUAGGCCCUGAAGUAAGUAAUAUGCUCUACAUAAGGGGAUUCUUCACCUGACACAGCUGCAGGAGUAUGGUAUAGGACCCGUCAGGAUGGGAUGGGGUAGGAAGGGGAUGUGGCUGAAUGCACUGAGGCACAGCUGUUCUCCACUUCCCAAGGGCCAUAGCAUAUGGGAAGCAGAGUGUAAAAUUACAGCAGCGCUGAGACUACUUUGAAUGUGCUGGCCCCUGAAUGGCUCUAUGGCUUAAAGCUACCUGUGCACCCCUCCAUUCUCUCUGUCCUUGUGGUGCACACAGAAACGUGAAGAGCCAGGCUGUAGUGUUUGUGAGACCAAACACCCAGCCUCAGGGAGUUUUUAUAACAAAUACUGGGAUAGAUUGUUUCAGUGAAGUUUCCUUAUACAUACACCAAAUAUUCCAAGAUUAACAGUCCCUCUUGGCAAGUUGGCUGAUGUCAUUAGUGUAACUGAAUGUUCUCUUCAAACCAUGGAUGACUCCUGGGAAGGACAAAUGGGCAGGGAAAUUCAUUGCAUAUAAAUGGCAGAUUUACCUUGUUCUUUUUUGCUAGAAUCUGCUUUACACAUUAACAACCAGGCAAAAUAACAUGGGGCUGGCAAAGCAUGAGCAUUCAAUGGGUUUGUGCACCUUUUAUCCUUUAUCAAAUUAUUGCAGGUAUGACUUUCAGGCAUGCACCAAGAUAAAUCCUAAUUGUGGGGGCCUGAUCAGGGAGGUUAAUAACCAUUACAGAGAAAGCACAGCUAAGGGCUUGUCUACAUCACAAAGUUG